UUAAAGGCUAUGAUGAGAAGAGUAGAUGCAAGAUGGAGUUAAAGGGUACUUAAAAUAUUCCUAAAGCGAGCUGGUGAUAGUGGGAGACCGGUACAAAGUCUGUAUUGAAUAACAUCUCUGAGCUUCUAACCGAAAUCAAAUUUGAGAGUAGACUUAGACGGAGCCAAACCGUUAUCUAUUGGACAGUAUCGAGUAAGAGUGAGAUUUUAUUCCGUACUGAUUGAGUGAGCCGUUUAGCUAAUAAGGGUGGUACCACGGAAGUAAACCUUUCGUCCCUAUA
rnacentral:ncRNA from 1 species